UGAAGGCCAAGGAUGAGGCUAGGUCAUUGAAGGUUGAGGUGAAGUGGCUUGAAUCUAAACUUGCCAAGUCCUGAAGUGAUGCGGAAGCUUGACUAUCCACAGAAAAUAAUAAAUGGAAUGAGAAGUUGGAGGCCGCUGAGGUUGCCGCAGUCGAAGCCUUCCAUUCCUCGAACAAGUUCUUGGACAUCCAGGUGGAGUUUGGCUCAACCUCGUAUC
rnacentral:lncRNA from 1 species